GACGAACGCUGGCGGCGUGCCUAAUACAUGCAAGUAGAACGCUGAAGAGAGGAGCUUGCUCUUCUUGGAUGAGUUGCGAACGGGUGAGUAACGCGUAGGUAACCUGCCUGGUAGCGGGGGAUAACUAUUGGAAACGAUAGCUAAUACCGCAUAAAAUGGAUUAUCGCAUGAUAAUUCAUUGAAAGGUGCAAAUGCAUCACUACCAGAUGGACCUGCGUUGUAUUAGCUAGUUGGUGGGGUAACGGCUCACCAAGGCGACGAUACAUAGCCGACCUGAGAGGGUGAUCGGCCACACUGGGACUGAGACACGGCCCAGACUCCUACGGGAGGCAGCAGUAGGGAAUCUUCGGCAAUGGACGGAAGUCUGACCGAGCAACGCCGCGUGAGUGAAGAAGGUUUUCGGAUCGUAAAGCUCUGUUGUAAGAGAAGAACGAGUGUGAGAAGUGGAAAGUUCACACUGUGACGGUAUCUACC
rnacentral:rRNA from 1 species